rnacentral:misc_RNA from 1 species
UGGAGAGUGUUACCAAUGUCAUGGAGUAUGAAAUCCUAGCAAAAAAGAGGUUACCCAAAAUGAUAUACGAUUAUUAUGCCUCUGGUGCAGAGGACCAGUGGACACUCCAAGAGAAUCGAAAUGCGUUCUCUAAGAUUUUGUAAGUACUUCUAUAAAGGUUCAGGCCCCGUAUUCUUGUAGACGUUAGCAAUAUUGAUACAACCACCAGUGUCUUGGGAUAUAAG